UACGUAGGGGGCGAGCGUUGUCCGGAUUUAUUGGGCGUAAAGAGCGUGUAGGCGGCCAGGUAGGUCCGUUGUGAAAACUCGAGGCUCAACCUCGAGACGUCGAUGGAAACCAUCUGGCUAGAGUCCGGAAGAGGAGACUGGAAUUCCUGGUGUAGCGGUGAAAUGCGCAGAUAUCAGGAGGAACACCGAUGGCGAAGGCAGGUCUCUGGGCCACUACUGACGCUGAGAAGCGAAAGCAUGGGGAGCGAACAGG
rnacentral:rRNA from 1 species